AUGGCGGACAGACAAGAUAAACAGGUCAUCACCGAAGCUCGCAAUUCCCACAUCUCAAUGAUGUAUGUCAUUGCGAGGACAAUAAACCUAAGUCAUUCUAUUUAUUUUGUCCGAGAAGACAUUGGCUCCCCUGCAAGAAUUAUCUUUGCUCUAAAGCCAGUCCUCAACUCCUCACGAGCUGAUCCUCUGCAGGUGCAGCUAGAUGGACUAAUCGGCUCAUCAGUCAUUCAGUCCACCUCCCUGAAGGAGCCCCAGGAAGUAGACGAGGUCGCCGCCCGCGAAGAGGACGAUGCUCGCGGGGCUGAAGAUAUUGCUGAAGAGGAAUCCUGCGCCGGCGGCGAGGAGGAGGCGGAAGACGACGGCGUACAUGUAGUGGCCGACGAUGGUGAUCGCGAGCGCGAGGUGGGCGAGGGCGCUGUAGUUGCAGAUGACCAGCAAACGCGAAUGAGAGAGAGAGAACACGAGGUGGAAGACAGUGGUUUGCGCUGCGUAACAAACUUGCAGCUUUUCUGUUUCUGUUCUUAUUUAUCUGAACCCCGUUGGAGUUCCUGA
rnacentral:rRNA from 1 species